rnacentral:piRNA from 1 species
UGCCAUGGAGGGGAGCCUGAGAUGUGUGU